rnacentral:rRNA from 1 species
UGGGGAAUAUUGGACAAUGGGCGCAAGCCUGAUCCAGCCAUGCCGCGUGAGUGAUGAAGGCCCUAGGGUUGUAAAGCUCUUUCACCGGUGAAGAUAAUGACGGUAACCGGAGAAGAAGCCCCGGCUAACUUCGUGCCAGCAUCCGCGGUAAUACGAAGGGGGCUAGCGUUGUUCGGAUUUACUGGGCGUAAAGCGCACGUAGGCGGACUUUUAAGUCAGGGGUGAAAUCCCGGGGCUCAACCCCGGAACUGCCUUUGAUAAUGGAAGUCUUGAGUAUGGUAGAGGUGAGUGGAAUUCCGAGUGUAGAGGUGAAAUUCGUAGAUAUUCGGAGGAACACCAGUGGCGAAGGCGGCUCACUGGACCAUUACUGACGCUGAGGUGCGAAAGCGUGGGGAGCAAACAGG